UACGUAGGGGGCAAGCGUUAUCCGGAUUUACUGGGUGUAAAGGGAGCGUAGACGGCAGCGCAAGUCUGGAGUGAAAUGCCGGGGCCCAACCCCGGAACUGCUCUGGAAACUGUGAAGCUGGAGUGCAGGAGAGGUAAGCGGAAUUCCUGGUGUAGCGGUGAAAUGCGUAGAUAUCACACAGAACACCGAUUGCGAAGGCAUCUGACGAAUCGGAGAUUGACGCUGAUGCACGAAAGCGUGGGUAUCGAACAGG
rnacentral:rRNA from 1 species